AACGAACGCUGGCGGCAGGCUUAACACAUGCAAGUCGAACGCACCUUUCGGGGUGAGUGGCGGACGGGUGAGUAACGCGUGGGAAUCUACCCUUCUCUACGGGAUAGCUCCGGGAAACUGGAAUUAAUACCGUAUACGUCCUGAGGGAGAAAGAUUUAUCGGGGAAGGAUGAGCCCGCGUUGGAUUAGCUAGUUGGUGGGGUAAAGGCCUACCAAGGCGACGAUCCAGAGCUGGUGUAAGAGGAUGACCAGCCACAUUGGGACUGCGACACGGCCCAAAAUGCUACGGAAGGGAGCAGUGGGGAAUAUUGGACGAGGGGCGCAAGUGUAACAACGCCAUGCCGGGGGAGUGAGGAAGGCCGUAGGGUUGUAAAGCCCUUUCAGUGGGGACGAUAAUGACGGUACCCACAGAAGAAGCCCCGGCUAACUUCGUG
rnacentral:rRNA from 1 species